rnacentral:rRNA from 1 species
CCUACGGGUGGCAGCAGUGGGGAAUAUUGGGCAAUGGAGGAAACUCUGACCCAGCCACGCCGCGUGAAGGAUGAAGGUUCUAGGAUUGUUAACUUCUGUUGCGCGGGACGAAGAAUGACGGUACCUCGUAAGAAAGCACCGGCUAACUACGUGCCAGCAGCCGCGGUAAAACGUAGGGGGCCGGCGUUGUCCGGAAUGACUGGGCGUAAAGGGAGUGUAGGCGGCAAUAUAAGUUAGAUGGGAAAUCCCGCGGCUCAACCGCGGAACUGCAGCUAAAACUCGAUAGCUGGAGUGCAGGAGAGGUGAGUGGAAUGCGUAGUGUAGCGGUGGAAUGCGUAGAUAUUAGGAGGAACACCGAAGGCGAAGGCGACUCACUGGAGUGUAACUGACGCUGAGGCUCGAAAGCGUGGGGAGCAAACAGGAUUAGAUACCCCAGUAGUC